UACGUAGGGUGCGAGCGUUAAUCGGAAUUACUGGGCGUAAAGCGCGCGUAGGCGGUUUGAUAAGUGGGAUGUGAAAGCCCCGGGCUCAACCUGGGAAUUGCAUCCAGAACUGUCUGACUAGAGUACAGUAGAGGUGAGCGGAAUUUCCUGUGUAGCGGUGAAAUGCGUAGAUAUAGGAAGGAACAUCAGUGGCGAAGGCGACUCACUGGACUGAUACUGACGCUGAGGUGCGAAAGCGUGGGGAGCAAACAGG
rnacentral:rRNA from 1 species